rnacentral:rRNA from 1 species
GACGAGGGGUCCAAGCGUUGUUCGGAAUCAUUGGGCGUAAAGCGGGUGUAGGUGGCUCUGUAAGUCAGGAGUGAAAGCCCCGAGCUUAACUCGGGAAGUGCUUUUGAUACUGCAGAGCUUGAAUGUGGGAGAGGAUCGUGGAAUUCCUGGUGCAGUGGUGAAAUACGUAGAUAUCAGGAGGAACACCUGUGGCGAAAGCGGCUCACUGGACCACAACUGACGCUGAGGCGCGAAAGCUAGGGGAGCAAACAGG